UGCUGAAGUUCAUGGGCCACGGUAACCAC
rnacentral:sRNA from 1 species